rnacentral:rRNA from 1 species
UGGGGAAUUUUGGACAAUGGGCGAAAGCCUGAUCCAGCAAUGCCGCGUGUGUGAAGAAGGCCUUCGGGUUGUAAAGCACUUUUGCCCGGAAAGAAAUCCUUGGCUCUAAUACAGUCGGGGGAUGACGGUACCGGAAGAAUAAGCACCGGCUAACUACGUGCCAGCAGCCGCGGUAAUACGUAGGGUGCAAGCGUUAAUCGGAAUUACUGGGCGUAAAGCGUGCGCAGGCGGUUUGCUAAGACCGAUGUGAAAUCCCCGGGCUCAACCUGGGAACUGCAUUGGUGACUGGCAGGCUAGAGUAUGGCAGAGGGGGGUAGAAUUCCACGUGUAGCAGUGAAAUGCGUAGAGAUGCGGAGGAAUACCGAUGGCGAAGGCAGCCCCCUGGGCCAAUACUGACGCUCAUGCACGAAAGCGUGGGGAGCAAACAGGAUUAGAUACCCUGGUAGUCCACGCCCUAAACGAUGUCAACUAGUUGUUGGGGAUUCAUUUCCUUAGUAACGUAGCUAACGCGUGAAGUUGACCGCCUGGGGAGUACGGUCGCAAGAUUAAAACUUAAAGGAAUUGACGGGAU